rnacentral:rRNA from 1 species
AGUCAACAUGCCCAGGGGACGUGGAUAACCUCGGGAAACUGAGGAUAAACCACGAUAGGUCAUAAUAUCUGGAAUGAUUUAUGGCUAAAAUCUACAUGGCCUCUGGAUUGGACUGCGGCCGAUCAGGCUGUUGGUGAGGUAAUGGCCCACCAAACCUAAAACCGGUACGGGCUCUGAGAGGAGAAGCCCGGAGAUGGGCACUGAGACAAGGGCCCAGGCCCUAUGGGGCGCAGCAGGCGCGAAAACUCUGCAAUAGGCGAAAGCUUGACAGGGUUAUUCUGAGUGAUUUCCGCUAAGGAAAUCUUUUGGCACCUCUAAAAAUGGUGCAGAAUAAGGGGUGGGCAAGCCUGGUGUCAGCCGCCGCGGUAAUACCAGCACCCCGAGUGGUCGGGACGAUUAUUGGGCCUAAAGCAUCCGUAGCCGGUUCUACAAGUCUUCCGUUAAAUCCAUCUGCUUAACAGAUGGGCUGCGGAGGAUACUAUGGAGCUAGGAGGCGGGAGAGGCAAGCGGUACUUAGUGGGUAGGGGUAAAAUCCGUUGAUCCACUGAAGACCACCAGUGGCGAAGGCGGCUUGCCAGAACGCGCUCGACGGUGAGGGAUGAAAGCUGGGGGAGCAAACCGGAUUAGAUACCCGGGUAGUCCCAGCUGUAAACGAUGCAGACUCGGUGAUGAAUAGGCUUCGUGCCUUUUCAGUGCCGCAGGGAAGCCGUUAAGUCUGCCGCCUGGGGAGUACGGUCGCAAGACUGAAACUUAA